AUGUGGAAGUGCUCGAAAGAGAACUGGAACACAGGUGCUGCAUGGCUGUCGUCAGCUCGUGUUGUGAGAUGUUGGGUUAAGUCCCGCAACGAGCGCAACCCUUGUCAUUAGUUGCUACGAAAGGGCACUCUAAUGAAACUGCCGGUGACAAACCGGAGGAAGGUGGGGAUGACGUCAAGUCCUCAUGGCCCUUAUGGGUAGGGCUUCACACGUCAUACAAUGGUCGGUACAGAGGGCUGCCAACCCGUAAGGGGGAGCCAAUCCUUUAAACCGAUCGUAGUCCGGAUUGAGGUCUGCAACUCGACCUCAUGAAGUCGGAAUCGCUAGUAAUCGCGGAUCAGCAUGUCGCGGUGAAUACGUUCCCGGGCCUU
rnacentral:rRNA from 1 species